rnacentral:SRP_RNA from 1 species
GCUGGGCGUGAUGGCUCACGCCUGUAAUCUUAAGCACUUUGGGAGGCCGAGGUGGGUGGAUCACCUGAGGUCGGGAGUUGGAGCCCAGCCUGACCAACAUGGAGAAACCCCAUCUCUA